rnacentral:rRNA from 1 species
AGUGAACGCUGGCGGUAGGCCUAACACAUGCAAGUCGAACGGCAGCACAGUAAGAGCUUGCUCUUACGGGUGGCGAGUGGCGGACGGGUGAGGAAUACAUCGGAAUCUACUUUUUCGUGGGGGAUAACGUAGGGAAACUUACGCUAAUACCGCAUACGACCUACGGGUGAAAGCAGGGGAUCUUCGGACCUUGCGCGAUUGAAUGAGCCGAUGUCGGAUUCGCUAGUUGGCGGGGUAAAGGCCCACCAAGGCGACGAUCCGUAGCUGGUCUGAGAGGGUGAUCAGCCACACUGGAACUGAGACACGGUCCAGACUCCUACGGGAGGCAGCAGUGGGGAAUAUUGGACAAUGGGCGCAAGCCUGAUCCAGCCAUACCGCGUGGGUGAAGAAGGCCUUCGGGUUGUAAAGCCCUUUUGUUGGGAAAGAAAAGCAGCAGGUUAACACCCCGCUGUUCUGACGGUACCCAAAGAAUAAGCACCGGCUAACUUCGUG